AGUGAACGCUGGCGGUAGGCCUAACACAUGCAAGUCGAACGGCAGCACAGUAAGAGCUUGCUCUUACGGGUGGCGAGUGGCGGACGGGUGAGGAAUACAUCGGAAUCUACUUUUUCGUGGGGGAUAACGUAGGGAAACUUACGCUAAUACCGCAUACGACCUACGGGUGAAAGCAGGGGAUCUUCGGACCUUGCGCGAUUGAAUGAGCCGAUGUCGGAUUAGCUAGUUGGCGGGGUAAAGGCCCACCAAGGCGACGAUCCGUAGCUGGUCUGAGAGGAUGACCAGCCCAACUGGAACUGAGACACGGUCCAGACUCCUACGGGAGGCAGCAGUGGGGAAUAUUGGACAAUGGGCGCAAGCCUGAUCCAGCCAUACCGCGUGGGUGAAGAAGGCCUUCGGGUUGUAAAGCCCUUUUGUUGGGAAAGAAAAGCAGCAGGUUAAUACCCCGCUGUUCUGACGGUACCCAAAGAAUAGGCACCGGCUAACUUCGUG
rnacentral:rRNA from 1 species